UACAGAGGUCUCAAGCGUUGUUCGGAUUCAUUGGGCGUAAAGGGUGCGUAGGCGGCGCCGUAAGUCAGGUGUGAAAUCUCGGGGCUCAACCCCGAAACUGCACUUGAUACUGCGGUGCUAGAGGACUCGAGAGGAGAUUGGAAUUCACGGUGUAGCAGUGAAAUGCGUAGAUAUCAAGAGGAACACCAGUGGCGAAAGCGAGUCUCUGGACAAUUCCUGACACUGAGGCACGAAAGCUAGGGGAGCAAACAGG
rnacentral:rRNA from 1 species